rnacentral:tRNA from 1 species
GCCUGGGAGGCUCAGUCAGUUAAGCAUCUGACUUCGGCUCAGGCCAUGGUUCGUGGGUUCAAGCCCCACAUCGGGCU